CGCACAUUGCGCCCGCUGGUAUUCCGGCGGGCAUGCCCGUUCGAGCGUCAUUACACCCCUCAAGCCUGGCUUGGUUUUGGGCGUCGCGGCUACCCCGCGCGCCUCAAAGUCCCCCGGCUGCGCGACCCGCCCGGAGCGUUGUGACAACGAUCGCUUUUAGGGAGAGCGUGUGGCCGAAGGCACACAGUGUAAAACAUUUUCAGGUUGACCUCGGAUCGGGUAGGGAUACCCGCUGAACUUAA
rnacentral:misc_RNA from 1 species